AGUGCCGCCUUAGGGAAAGGUUGAUUCCAAUGGCGUCUGUGCUGCAUUUUUGGAGGAGCGGUUAAACAUGGGUCUGAACUUCAUUCUUUCUGCCGAGCUUGAUCACAAGAAAAAAGACUACAAAUUUGGAUUUGGUUUGACUGUUGGAGAAUAAAAUAGCAUGACUAGAGCUGUAUUUCCUUUUACAUUAGCCAGCCUAGCCUAGCAAGUUUUCUUGCUUCAUUUUACUUGUUGGAGAUUUUUCUUUUUGGGAAAAAGAAACACAGGAGGAAUAUAUCAUUUGUGUCGGCAAACAUCAUUUAAUCUACAAGUUGGCCUAAAAAUACUUCAAAUUUGUUGCCAUGUUUUCCCUGGAGGGAGAUGUAAAGUGAUAAUAGAUGACCAUGCAUAUUAUAAGAUUCAUUUCAACAUAAUGCUCAUGUUUGCUAAUA